ACUUUCGAAAUUUCUUAAUUUUUCAUUAUACUUAUUAUUUGGUCAUUAAAUUUUCGCACAUUUUUUUUCUACUCUACAUAUGUAUAUAUAAUAUACAUUCGUCUGUUUGGACUCAUUAUAAAUACGGAUCGAAGAUGUGUUCGGGCUCAUUAGUCACGUGGUUUCGCUUCGUCCAUCCCUGCAUGCUCGGUCGCGCGACCCUGGACUGGCAAUGAUAAUGAGUAGUGGGAGAACUUUCCGAGCGCGCCAACUAAUUUUGCCCGUCUUUAGUCAUAACGUAACUAUCAAAACUAAUUUAUUUAUCUCGUUUCAUUUGUAUCAAAUGUAUCAAAACUUACAUCUACAAAUGUUGUAAGGGGAGACCGAGACCAAAUCAUGACUCAUUUAGGCGUUUUGUUUGCACCGUUGCCAUGGAAACCGCGCCUCUAGUCGCUAUGUUUGACUCUAUGAGCUAUGAGCUAGCGGUCCUGUUUGAACAGUGACCGCUAGCUGUAAUUCAAUUUUAAAUAAAAAUAACGGCCUCAGUUGAAUAUUUAAUAAAAAAUCGUCCUCUGUCUUACAACAUAAAAUUCUAGUGAAAAAUUUAGCGGAGCCACCCUCCAUUUAUUAAUUAAAAAAAGUGUUAAUGACAAAACGGUAUUUAAAAAGGUCACGAGCCGCCACUGGGCUUUGGUUCGCAGUUUUGUAGAAUACAACUCGUUUCGUUCGUAGAUAGAAUUUCAAGGGCAACCCGGUUUUAGCAGUAGCACACUGGAGCUCGUUUCGCUCGAUGAAAGUAUCUCGAAAGUUCUUGCAAUGCAUUUUAGUACUAACGUGAAACAGCCGUUUUCGGUUUUGUUUUUCUAGUUAAGCAUCGCCAGGUUCUGCUCCUUGAAAAACUUCCAGGACUGACUAGUGUUUUAUUUUUUAUUUUUUAUUUUUUUUAUAGCAUUAUACAGUUUGGUCGGCUCGUUAAAAGGGUUUCCGCGAACGACUUUUAUCUUCCAGAGAGUAUAUGUUUGUUAAUAAUUUGUGUUGAAAGUAAUGUAUGAGUUUACGUUUGUUUUACAACAAAUAUUUAUAUAAAAAUCUUCAAACAUGAGAAAUUCGUAGAAUAUGCAAAUAUUUUGCUACAUUUCCGUCAAAAAGUUAAGUGCGUUGAACAAGUGUGUAAGGUAAAACGUUCAACGGAACCAGGGUUAGUGAAAGCAGCGAAAGAGUGUGAGUUAUGUGCCCCGAUCAAAUGGAUUUAUGGUAAACUGUCUUCGCUUAUUUGUAACAGCCUGAUUAUUAGUUUAUUCCAUUUGUUAAUGUUAAUUGAUGGAAACGAAAUAACUCGCAAGACUUGUGGUGUGACACUACCCUCUCAUUCUCCCAUAACGACGCCCCUGACUUAACAGUAUCAUUGUUUUGUUUGCUUUUUCGUUUUUCGGUAGCUGUUCGUCUUUAUCGGUGCUCGGUCUUUUCUACCAUAGCAGUUAUCUGUUUAUACCGCAUUGAUUAUCUGCUGGCAAAUUCUGUUAUAUCUUAAAAAUACUUAAGAAUUGAUGGUUUCAACUUUAAAAUCUUGAGUAAAUAUGCCAGGUUUCGGCGUUCGUGUAGCGAAUGUGUUUUAAAGGGAUUUUAGAAAACACACUUUGAAAGGUUUUAUUAAUACAUAUUUAAACACAGGAAAAGUUGGAGUAACAACUUUUUCAUAGGGGCAAGUUAUUUUCAUCUUUGUAGAAAGACUAAACUGAAAUUUAGUUGUAGAUAUAUUUAAAUGUUCUGACGAUUUCUCUACUACUAUUCCAGGAUUCGCCACUUCUGCCUCCCAAUCAUAUUUGAUUCUCAGCCUAGGGAAAAUAGUCUCUCUCUUGAUUUCAUGUUACAGGCACAUUUACUCUAAACAACCAUUAAAGAUUCAUUAACGUUAACAAAAAGGGAGUGUUUUAGUUGAUGAGUUAUUUUCUUUUCAAAAUCGUUCUGGUGGAUGCCCAAAAUGGACAUUUUCCCUAUUAUUAUAAAAUUUACUACAUAGACAUUGCAACAUAUUUACUAUGUAGACCAUGGACCUCAACACGACUUUCUAUUUUACGCGAGUAAUAUCAGCAAUCCUUCGAAAGAAAGGAAAAAACUGUCAUUUUCUAGUUAUACGGAUCCAUAGCUUAACUCGGAAGCCCGUUUGGGAAUUAUGUAAAAAAGAGCACGUUAGGGCGUAACAUAUGGCGCUCGUAAAACGUUUAGAGUCCAUCCAAAAGACGGUUCGAGGGCGGCGCCGGUGAAAUAAAAUAAGAAAUUAACGUAAUAAUCAUCAAUAAUGUCGGAGUGGCAGCAUGCUUGACUUUCACCAGAUAACAAGCUUGUUAGAUGCCAUAAAACACGCUAAAUGGAUUUAGUUUCGAGAGGGUGUGAAAUGUAAUUACUGUGUAAGCUUUCGAUUACGAUGUCGGCGAUAACAUACUUUCCUUCGGGAAUUUGCAUCGUCACCCCUUAACCGCUCUACGCAUACAGGCCUCUACUCGUCCUAGAGGCACUUUUAUUUGCAUUUUUUCUAAAUUCCCUAUAGCGCUGUAAAUACUUAGAAAUGGCGUAGUCUCCACGCGCGAUAGCUCCAGAUUAAUGGCAUAGGGCGGAUUUUUCAAAUUCUUUAUGAAAAUAGGGUUGCAAAGGAAGUUUCGAUACCGACUUCAGUAUUAACAAAGGUUUUUGAACUUGAACUUUAUCGUGCAUCGGUUUCGAAAGUAAUGGAUUUUUAAGUAUGCGUUUAAAGGUAUUUGCAUAAUUGACGUGUUCGAUAGAAGGAACGAUUUUUUUAAAUUAAUUGGCUCACAACCCUUGAAAAAUUGGUUGGGACAAGCUUCACUACACCGCAUACUGCGAAACGAGGCGUAAAAUUGGCGGUAACAAUUUCUUUACAUAUAUGUCACAUGUUCUGGUAAUGUGGUAGAGCUAGACGUUUCAUGACCGCUAGAGUAAAAAAAAAUAGGUCCCCUGUUUCCUUGUGCUUUGAGGUGAUAUAUUCUUUCCGGUAGCUGGAUAGGUUUUAUUGUACUUUGGGGGGGAGGGAAGUUCUAUCGAAAUAACCUUCGACCAACUUUUUAGUAUUGUGCCAUAUUUAUGGAAUUAUGUCAACUAUUCAAUAUUUUUAAUUACUCUUGUUUUGAAAUGGCAAAACUAAUCCAUCUAUCUUUUAAGCCGGAAUCCACUUCCCCUUGGAGACAGGAUUCUCUCUUUAACUUUAAAUGGCGCACCUCGCCAACUUCAAACUUCUACGGACAAAACUAUUAUAAACUUCAACUGUAUUUUGUACAAUCCUGGAGAUGCGAGGAGAACACAAACCACGAAAUUUGUUAUCGAACAUAUUAAGAUAAUUGCUGAUUAACAUAUUCUUGUCAUACAGAAACUAAGUUGCUACAUCUUGAAUUUUUAUCAAACACGGGCAAGACACAUAUUUAAUUUGUAAUCGAGUCGUCAUUGAAAAGGAUUUAUCAUAUCGGUGAUUAAAUCACACUAAAUGUUAAAAAUGUCACUUUUUAAUAAGAUUGAACUCUAGCAGUAUAUAUCCGAUAAAUAGUGUUCUUAUAGGGACAAAAAAUUCUACAGGAGUAAGAUCACAAGAUCUCAGGCGCUACAUAUUCUCUGUAUUUUGACGAAAAAUCCUUUGUUCAAAAAUUCACGUAAUAUUGGCAUUGUGGUCCUAGCCGAAUGCGCUGUAGCUCCGUCUUGUUGAAAAUAAACUACCGUUUCAUUGUCGUAAAGUUGUGGUAUAAAAUUUGAUAAACAUUCUUGGUUACCUAAAUUUUUAGCAUUUUCACGUUUUUUGCGAUGUUGACCAUUUAAUAUUAACACUUUUUGUCAGUUCACACACGAAGUCUUGUCAAAGGUAAAAUGCCAUUUUUCCGAUAAACAUCCUCUUGCGUGACUCCCUAUUUGAUAUUCAACAUUCUUCUAUUCUUUUUUUAUCAGGCCACAGAGUGUUCUGAACAAAGUAAUGAAAAUUGCAGUUGCAAACAUUUUGUUUCUCAGUAACUUUUACUGAAUUACUAGAAUUGAACACUCCUCAUUGUGGUUAGUUUAGUCCUGUGGCUCACAUCUGCAUGUUUUUACUGCAGAACAUUUUAUUUUUCACUGUUUAAACUAUAUAAAACAAAUGUUGUCAAAUUUUUUAAUAUUUUUGCGAACUCUUCCUUUGAAACUGGCAGAGUGAUUUAUGUUUUUAGCGAUAAUGCAAUUGUCGUUGGUUUUCUAUUUAUUUUCCGUGACGCAUCUCGCCAACUUGAAACUUCUGCAGGCAAAACUAUUAAAUCCUUUAAUUGCCUCUAGCUGGAUAUAAGAAGCGCGCGGAACACAAACGAUGGUAAUUUGUCAUCGAAAAUAUUAGAAUAAUUAUCAAAUAUUUCGUCCGUUUCUUUCGUAGCUACAAGGCUUUUCCAUUUUGAGGUCUUUCUCAUAGAACGCUUUCACAACUGGGGCACCGCAAGAUACGAGUAUUUAAGAACAGUGGCGUGACAACAUUUGAAAUAAUUAAUCACAAACAAAACAAAUUACAAGUUGUCUUUUCUGCAUUGCAUAAUUUUUUUAAGUGGCACAUCAGCUAAAUAAAUAUUGGGACAAAAUUUGACUUGUCUCAUUUAUCUUCCAUUUGGAAUUGUAAAGUUUUGCGCACGGUAGAUUAAAUGUUUUGAGUCUUGCAAAAAAUUUUUCGCUGCAGAAACCUCUUUAGGAAAAGUGCGACGAAACCCACAGAAGAUACUCGUGUUAAAACUAACGAAAAUAUUCGGCUUUUGUUUCGUACUAUUAGUUACAAAUCUAAAUAAUUAGCUACAAAAGAACUUCCUUGGCGGCGGCUCCUCGCUAAAGAGAGCUGCUACGGAUUCUGGAGAGGCGGCGACGCUGAUGGUACAUGCGUUGAGGCUAAGGGCGGCGAACGUGCAGAGCCCAACUCGACCACAACAACAAAAUAUAACAAUCAUAUUUGCCAAUUUUUUUUUAGGUUAUCAAAAACAAAAUUUCGUAAAAUAAAACUUUACAAUCUUUCAAAGAAGCCGGAUUUACUGGAAUGUAUUUCAGGGGUUAGCGCAGUGCUAUCGAAAUAACCUCUGACCAAUUUUUCAAAAUACGAACUGAAAUAUAUAUGGUUCAUAUAAAUAUUUUAUUCAUUUCAUUAGCACAAUGCAAUUUUGGAAUGGUGGCAGCUUAAUACGAGAAUAACUUUUUUAAAAUUCGAUGAAUAAAAUAUUUCAAUUAUGAAGUAGAAAUUUAUUUUUGUUAUUUAUGAGUUUCGGCAGAUGUGUCGCGUUUAUCCAUUAUUUUUUAGUGAAAUUUUUACACAAAAUAAACACUGCAGAUUAAUAACGACGUUAGUGGGACUUAGUAUUGUUGUAUGCCAACGCACGCAACUUAUAAUGCUACUGACAAAACAGCCACAUGUAAUGUAUUAAAAGCCUCACUUUCAACUAAUUAAACUGCUUGCAGCCGUCAUGUCUACGAUUUCGUUUUCGUAAUUAUCAAAAUUAGAUGGGUUAGUUUGUAGAAAAAAAAAAUCUAAAACACCCUUUUCAGCCCAUGUACACUUACCUCUAAACACACCUGAGUAGAAACAUCGAAAAAGGUAUUUGUAUCUUCUAAAUAAACUAAACGCAAGUGUUUGCGUGCUUUUAGUUGACUGAUUUUUGCUCUCUUCGUGACAGAACUAAUGGAAACUGGCGGCUACUAUAUUAGCAUCGAGUUAGUGUUGCUUCUUAAUAUAUCUCUCGUCCUCUGGAGGGUUUGCUGCAACGGCGGUGAUUCGUCUCAAUUUAGCAAAUUGAUAUCGACUAGCUCCUGUUUGGAUGCUGCAUUAAUGGUCGUUACGUCAAAUUAAAAACGUUACGCUGGAUAUAAAUUACUAUCCUGACGUUUCACUUUUUAGAGAAAAACCGUUUAAUUAAACACACGAGCAAUGAAUGGAAUGAGGAAUAUGCUUAGUUGCUUCUUGAUUGAGACAAAUGUAAUUGGAUGACUUUUGAAAAAAUCUGUUCUUGUGGAAAAGUUUCGACGAUUCGCAAUAUCUGUGAUGUAUUUAGUCUGUGAUUACAGAAAAUAAAACAUCAGUAAAUUAACGCAUUUUGCACAUUUUAGAAACAAAAAAGGUCAUGAUGAAGAUCUAAUUAUGAAUCGUUGGUUAAAGAUAUUUCAUUGUUUGUUUACUUGCUCGUGUUUGUUUUGAGCUUGUUAAUUUGAACAUAGAAUAAUAAGUAAUAAAUUUAGCGUAAAAUGGAGUGCAUGCAAGCAGCAUACAGUGUGCUUUCAAACUGAAUAGAAACAAUUUGCUCAAAUGAGUGCCCAACAAUAGAGUUAUCGUAACACUUUGUCUCGAAAAUGCGAUAAACGUUAAGGUCCCGUGAUUAUAUAGUAUUCUGACUUUACAGCAAUACACUGUUUGAAGUAACUGUAUCUGUUUUGGCAUCUGUCUUACAAUGUGUACGGAAAAUUUGAAAUACAAGAAAUAUCGAUCUGAAGCUUGAAAUAACCAUUUCCAAUAAAAAGUGAACUUACUGCCUCAUUCACCAGUUACAAAGUGUCUUUUAGUAUAGGUAGGUUUCUCAAUUAGGAAUUCAUUUUUAAAAAUAUUGCCAUUGUUCCAUCAAUUCAUAUUUAACGAAAAUAUAUAUUGUCAACACAUCAGAAAACUGGUUAUUUAACUUGAAAACUCGACUGCAUCGUCAUUAUUUAUUUUAGCGCUUAUAUUGAUUUUGUUUUGAGUAAUUCAACUAAAGUAUUACCGCAAUACCGAGCAAUUAUUUGAGUCCCUUCAGGCAGAGAAAAUAUGUUCAGGACUUUUUCACAGGAACCGUAGUAUUUCAGAGUUAGCUGUUUCGAAUAUAGAAAAUGUGGCACCGUUACAAUUCUUGCCAAAAACUAAAACCAUAUUUCUUCGAACGUACGAAAAUUUUCCACAAAUGUCAACGCUAGUUACUUUUUAAUAAGAACUGUAAAGUUCCUGCACACUCAACAUGAAAGUUUACUCAUUCCAAAAUGAUAUGAAUAAUGGCGUGAAUUUUACCUGUACUAAUUUGCGGAGUGUUACACGCUGUUAUGCGUCUGCUUUGAUUACAGUUUUAGACCUUUAAAUUAGUUUUUUUAUAUUUAAGGUAAAUACUGUGCUUUAAUUCAUGUUUCUUUUGGUUGUUUAAAUAUGUUAUGAUUGUUUUGUGCGAACACAUCUCAGUGUAUCGCGUGACAUUUGACAUUUUUUUAACCCCCGAUCCAAAAAGAGGGGUGUUAUAAGUUUGAACCCUUUGUCUGUCUGUCCGGCGUUUUUUUUUUGAAAGCUGACUUAAUCUGCAGGUGGUGCUAAUUCCACAGAACAGUUGCGCACAAACUGCCUGAGAGACAAGGGUUAGUUGGGCACUAUGGUCAGAAAUAUUUUGUAUAUAGUUCUAGGGACUAAUACGAUAAAGAGUUUUUGCCUAUCCUGACAAAAAUAAAUAACUACUACGAGAAAUAUUUAUAUAACUAUGAAAGUAGUUUUUAUUAUUCUUAAAUUUUCUACCAAUAGGUCGAUCUUAUCAGCCUACGAGAUAAGAAUUAUCGCUGUUAAUUCAAAUGGUUUUUCCACACAACCUUAAUUUGUGUAUCCUGUGUCUCCUUUAAUAAACCCUUCCGUGGUCCAGUUUGUAUGUCUUGCUGUUAGUCACCACGACGGACCCCGUAGGUGCGAAGAAUUGUAUCCCAGGUUAUCCCGUUUUUGAUAAUGACUGUCAUUUGUAUGAAUUGUGAGGGUGCUAUUACGCCCAUGAUACCCUCCGCUCAGUGUGGAACAUGUUGAAAAUAAUCACAUAUUAAAUGUUUAAGAUUUGGUGAGGGCGAAAUUUCCAAAAUCAUUAAUAAAAAAUCUCCGUGGAUGAAAUCCAAAUGUUCUUCUUUUUCUCUUGUCAAGAAACAAUUAACCAUUAUGAAACAAGAAAUUAAGAGAACUAUUGAUAAUCAGUUUAAAAACAUCAGUGACAGACUAACUGAGGUAGAAAAUAAUGUAGUAGGAUAGGAAACGCUAUAGUUCAAUUAUUAUAAAAUUCCAAAAUGUACUUAAAUCAUCGAUUGAUCAAAAAUCGAUGAUGAUAUUAAUCGAGUUAUGAAUAUAUUGUCAUUGAUAUUGGCUCUUAUACUUAAACCUGACACUGUCGGCCAGAAUGUUGGGAUCUUAGGGUCUAGUUAGAGGAUUUUUUUUAAGAUCAAUUCUGGUGUUUAUGAUGUUCUUAUUAUUACAGAAUCUUGGUUGUCUAGUGCUACUUAUUUCUAGUGGUUGAUUGUGUUUAAAUAACUACAAUCUUUUUGAUUGAGAGUGAUGGUGAUCUUACAGCUAAAUAUCAUGGGGUGGAGUACUGGUAACAGUAAAAAAUGACUUGUAUUCUCAUGUUGUUUUGCGCGGUCAAUCUGUUGAAGGUAUGUUUGUACACUUAAGAUACAACGGCUUAGACCUAAUUGUUGGUGGUGUGUAUAUUCCACCCGCUUCUGCUAUAAAUAUUCAUGACGAUCUUUAUUUUGAUUUGGAAUCAAUUUUUGAAUGGUUUUCAGAUUCUUCUUAUGUUAUCGCUAGUGAUUUUAAGUUGCCGAAUUUUGUAAAGGGUGGUAAUGAGGUACUUCAAUUGUCUGUAUCACAGAGGUUGCAUAAUGUUAUCAGAUCCACUUGCUCCUUUUUUUAUCUUAUUUUUUCGAACAUUAACAAUAUUGAAGUCUCCCUCCUUAGAUCCCAAAGUGUUGUUAAGUUGAUCGGUGAUUAAAAAUCGAUUUAUUUCUUAGGAAUUCGAAUUUACACCACUUAUUACACAGGGAUUAUGUACAAAAUAAUUCCGACUGGAAUGGAUUUGACUAGUCUACUCCCGUUAUCUAGACUUCAUUAACUGCUCCCGACGGUGGUUCCCAUUUAAACAGCCGUGCGGUCCUUCUCGAAGAUCUCUUUCACCACUUGUAGGCUUGUUCUCGAACAGUCGUCGCGACAUCCACUUCCAGGCUCUUCUGCGCCCACCGUCACCGACAAUGAGUCAUCAUCGCCGCACAUACUAGAACCCAUAGCGGGGCGGAGUAUGGGUUUAUUUCGUAACAGUAUUCAUGAUUCUCCCAGCUCUUGGAGUACUUUUUCUGUUAAAGCGUUGUGCAUAAACUCGUUCUUAUGAUUUUGUUAAAGAAAACUAUACUAUAUGAAAAUUAUGCUUCAAUAUGUUGGGAUUCUUAUUUGGUUGGUAAUGACUUGUAUGAAUUGGUUGCACUUUUUUAUGCUAUAACCUUUGAUGGUUUUGACAGUUACACUACAUACAAAACUGUUAAGCAUAAUGUGCGUAAGUACACCGUAUGAUAUAACAAACAACUUUAGGAUCUCUAUUGGACGAAGAAAUUAGCACAUUUAAAUUACAAAAUAUCUGGCAGGCUUGAUGACUAUUUAUUUUUUAAAUCUUUGAGAUGUAGAUGUAAUGAUUUAAAUGAUAAACUCUAUGCUUCAUACAUAAUUAACGUUAAGGAAGCUAGUAUUCCUUCUGAAAUGAUCCUUGUCAGUACUCUGGGAAAGGUGGGGAUGAAAUAGUUAGUAUUUUCGAUAGUAUUUUUCCUCGGUAUAUGAAAUUGAUGAUAUGAUAGUUGGUUUAAACGUUACUCUUUCAGAUAUUUUUCGUCAUAUUUGUAACUGAAAGUCGUCAUGUAAUCUUCGUCCCGAUGUGGUGCCAAGCGUAGUAGUUUUAAAGAGCUGUAUCCGUUCUAUUUGUCUACCUUUAUUGGUAUUACUUAUGGCAUCAUUGGAUAAAGGUAUUUGUCCUAAACUGUGGGAGAACAGUUACGUCAUUUUUAUUUUUCAAAUGCAGUGGGCAUCAUUUUCGAUCAUCUCUAGUCAGCAGCAUAGCUUUUAUGUUAAAAGGUCCGCAUUGUCUAAUCUGGUAGAAUAUCAGUCAUUUCUAAAUGGUGCAUUAUCUAAACGCGUUCAACUAGACACUGUGUAUAUACGGACUUUGCGAAAGAAAAGGUUACUGAUUCUGGAACCUCAUAAAUCCUGACGUGUUCCUAAUAGAACCUAAAAGCUUAUAUUAAUAAGAUAUUCAGCUUGAGGCACAAUAAUUUCUAUAAGUAUUUAAACUGUUUACAAUUUUCGAGCCCUUUUCCAUUUAUGGUGUAUCUAUUAAUAACUUUGUUUUUUAUUCUACCACAGGACACUUCACAAAAUGCGUAAUAUCAUACCAUGUCUUCUUGUAUCAUUGCUACUUUCGUAUUACAUAAGCAAGUUUCAAAUAUUCCUUGUAUAAAUAAGUUUUACAACGAAGACUUUGCUAUAUAUAGAAAUAACAUUGGUCCUAAAUUCGAACCUUGCGUAACUUCCGAGUGUACUUCAUAUACAGUACUUGAUACUCUACGUACUGACGUUUAUAUCAAAGAUAUAAACAAGUUCACGAUGUUCUGACACAGCCCAAAAUAUUUCGAUUUUUCAAAGAAAUUUCUAUGGUUGAUCCGAUCAAAUGCUUUAGUUAAAUAAACAUACACGAUGUCAACUUGAUUUUUAUUAUAUAAAGCAAUCGACACAGUGGAUAAAUUGACAUAAGUUUGUAGCGGUUGAUCUGCCUUUCAUAAAACAGUGUGCUGUGGCAUUACCUUCAACUUUAUAUGAUUUUGCACCACAUAAUUCCAAAUUUUGUAGAUUUUGCAGAUUUUCAAGAUUUGGUGUGCUGCUGACGAAUACUAAUUCCACGAAGGGUUUUAACCUUGUCCAUAUAUAAAUCGAGUUUACUCCUGUGAAACAAUUUCAAGUACUUCUUCUUUUCUUUUAUGUUGUUAAUAAUGUCCUUAGUGAACCAAAUUGUAUAUUUGGAUGAGUUGAUAGGGGUUUUUGGCACGAUAGCGUCUAGAACUUCAUACAAUUUCUGGUAAAAAAAUUUACCGCUUUAUUGGCAUCAUAUAUGUAGUUUAAAUCAUCCCAAUUAAUCAAUGAUAUUGACUGAUACAAAUUUUCAAAAUCAGCCCUACGCAAAUUAUUAGCAUAGUUAUUAUGGUUCCCCAUAAAUGAUUGUGUGAAUCGCUGAUUAUCUGUAGAUCAAUAGAUAAACUACGGUGCUGAGGAUCUUCUUUCACUAACGGAUAAUCAGAUUUACGAAUACUGUCAAACCAAUCCCUGGAUUUGUCCAAGGUUUGAAAAACAUUGACUUUAUAGUCAUCCAGGGUUUCAUCAAUGAUGGCAAAAGUUGUCUGUAUACAUUAAUAUAAAUUAGGAAGAGUAAGAGUAGUGGCCCUAAUAUAGAUGCUUGAGGGAAGACUCCUCUAUGUAUUGAGAGAUACUAACAACGCUCCCUUUGAGUCCGUUAUAUUCAAGUUUUUAAAUGAGAAUACAGAUGGCAUAUUCUAGAAUUUUUGACGUUAUUGGAAGAAUAGAAAUUUGCCGAUAGUUUCUAAAUCCAUUCCGAUUCCCUUUUAUAUAGAGCGGCCUUACUCUUGUAGUCUUUUUAAAAUUUUUGGAAAAAUCCCUUGUACUAAACAAUCAUUCAGAAUUUCAGUUAAUGGAUUUAUAAUAUAUGAGGAACAAUGUUUUAAGAGAAAAGUGUUAAUAUAGUAUACGUCUUCAGUUCUCUUAGAAUGUAGACUAUUUAUUAUGAUCUGUACAUCAUCAAUUUCUUAUGCGUAAUUACUGAAGGAAAUGUUAAAAGCGUUUGUGUUAUUGCUUGAAGGAGUUGGAAUUUGUCUACUACUUUUCCUGUUUCUAAUUUGAUUAUUUUCCACACAGUUUGGACUUUAUUAUUGGAACCUGUUUUAGCUUGCAUAAGCUUUUUGUUAUGAUUUUUUUUGGAGUUGUAAAUGUUUUCAUUAUCAGCUGGGUUAAGUCAAGGGCUAUCCAGAUCUGUUGAUUUUUUGUGGGCAUUUGCACAAGUAUUUAGCCUAUCCCAGGAUUGGACUUGCAGACAGUUAUUAAAUUUGGUUAUAUUUUCAGCAUUGUUGACCCUUUUAUUCUGUUAUUUACCGGUUUUUGUGUUUUCAUCAGUAUACUGAAUUAUUAAAAUUUCCAGUAACAAAUAUAUUGUCAAGACAAUUCUGUGCACGUGUGGAGUCAAAUAUUGUUUGAUGCGUGUCAGAAGAGGAAAAUAGAUUUCUUACACUGAAAUCUUCAUUUUGCAAAUUUUUUAGUAAGAAUUUAAAUAUAAAAAUCCUGAAAUGAAUCAAUUAAAAUACCAGAAGCAGAAGUUGUAGUUUGGUAGAAGCUAGAAACCUUCGCUGAGUAUAAAUUAUGACGGCGACAUGUGGCUUCAUUAAGGCAAAACUGUUACUUGAAUAUUUCUCAUUAAACGCAAGUGCAAUGGGGUGAAAAGGUGAAGGUCGGGUUUUUAAAUCAAAAUCGAGCCCUAUCUCGCCUUUCCUAAUUAUCGCAAUCUCUCCUCCGAAACGAAUAUAAUUGAUACGAAUUUCCCUCAAGCUUUAAUAAUGGAAAAUAACAAAAGGAUGGCGAGAAAGUCGCGCCGUUACCACCGAGGCCGUUAUUAAGUUUAGGAGAAUGGCCGACAGUUAUUUUGAGUCAAAGUUUAAAUUGCCCAGGAAUUUGCUUGUUAACACGAGGCGUCAUAAUUGAAGCCUCGGAAUAUUUUCACGGUUUUGGGAAUAAGAAAGCGGGAUGUUUGGAAGUGACAAUAACUUCAUCAAAGCGAAAGACACCGCAAGGCGGUCUCGAGAGGUUCGGGCUUUUCGAAAACGUCGCCGUCCUCUGCCGUCGUCGAAUAAUUACGGAACAUUGUUACGGUUACGACCGAAUCGCGUGUUCAACGGGUUUAUCAAACUUUCUAUAAAUAAAAGCUGAAUUAUUUCAAAACAUAAAGCAUGCUUUAUUAUUAAGGCAUUUUAUAUCGGGCUCCAUUUUUAGAAGUAAUUUAUGAAAAUAAUUUUUAUUUUAAUAUUUUUGGGGAUUAAUUUUGCUUUAUUUUCUUUCACAAACAUUUUCCGACAGAUUAGGGAUUUGCUAAAGUAGGUAUAAGGCUCUUACUCCAGAACAAAUUACAAAUACAAUUUAACCGUCUUAUAAAUUUCACUUAAGCUUGUUUAAAGCUGAGUUGGGUGGGACACGAUAUUUAUACUUACACUUUUGGGGUAAAAUUUGUUCUUAAAUAAAACUUUAUUUAAGAACAACAUUUCAACAUUAUCAAAAUGUUUUGAAAAUAUGUAGCAACUUUUACAAGAUUGCAAAGCUUUUUUAUGUGCUUUUCGCAGUCGAUGUUUAAUCGCUGGAAAGUUUCUUCAGGAAACACACUUCUUUUUUUGUCGGUUUUCUUCACGAAUGAAGCUUUCCAUUUGGGAAUUACCUUUGUAAGAAUUAUUAAAUUUUUCUUCGAUAAAAUAUUCAUAUAGGUCAUUUGUAUUUAUUUUGACGAAAUGCUUCUGUGGUCAUAAAUAUUUGAGGCGGAAUUUCUAAUAUGUAUGUCUGUCUACGUGCUACGAAAAAGUUAGACGUUUCCUAAUGUAAUCUUUUUGUUCGUCUUCACUAAACUAAUUUACAGCAAGCGAAGUCAAACUAAAUUUUUGUAUUCUUCGAUGUGUUCAACUGGUGAUCCAUUGAGGACAACAUUUUUUUGAUGGGUGGAGCAUUAUUUUUGUAACGGCAUCUAAAUUCUCACUGAGAAUUGCGUCAAGCGCAGCCUAUGCUUAAAUAACACGUUUUUUUUUCAUACAUAUCUCGAAAAAGCUUUGAUCCAGAUUUUUGAGGUACCGACAUUUUUCUGUUCCCAAAUUUGGUGUCAUUAAAAAAUGAAUUAACUUCUUUGGGACGAAUUAUGGCUGCAUUAUUCGCGCCGAGAAUGAUUUUCGAAGCUUUUCAUUAACUCAGAUUUACCCAUUUCCGGAUUACCGUUAUUAAAUUAAUACUGUUAUCUAACUGAGAAGACCGAAAUGCGUUUUCGUUAAUAAAAUAUUUGUUGAGAAAUUUAUAACGCUCUGAAUCACUAAGAUCACCUUUGCUAUUAAGCCAUUCGAAAUUUACGUUGUAUAAUUAUUUAAGACAAGUUUCGUAUUUUCUUGGACUUUUUCUUUGUACGUGAUGCUAAUAAUAAUAAUAUUUUGAGAAAGACAACUUUCAAUCUAAGAUUCAGGUUUCUUCUUCUUCACCUAUAUACAUGGACCGUUCAGCAUUUCCACCCGAUUUAUAACGCUCUGAAUCAUUAAGAUCACCUCUGCUUUUAAUCCGUUGUAAGUUUUUAGCAUUAGGUUCAAAAUAGUGAACUGUUUGCGUGUGUUCACUGCAAGUUUGUUGUAAUUCAGAAUCACUAUAGUUCCUAUUACCUAAAAGAUAACAACGUUGGAUUCAUCAAGAUUAAAAUUAUCUUUGUGUAUACUUCGAUUGAAUUUAAACAUACGAAAUUAAUUGCUUUCAAAUUAUGACAGUUUUGAUUCCUUUUUGGUAAAAGGUGUCGAUGGCAACUAGUUUUCAAGUUUGUUUUUCAAUUUGUGGAAAUUAAUUGCACAAUUUAAGACAAGUGUCGCAUUUUCUUGGACGUUUUCUAUGUACAUGGUACAACUAAAAAAUAAUAUUUUGACAAACAUAGUCUUCAACGUAAGGUUCAGCAACUGUUUCUUUUUCUCCACCUAUACGACAUGGACCGUUCAGCAUUUCCACCAGAUUAUUGGUUGUAAUAUUUUCUAAAAAUCCAUUCGAAAUUUACAUUAUUUGAAUUGUUUAAAUAUUUAUCGAGCAAUUUAUAACGCUCUGAAUCAUUAAGAUCACCUCUGCUUUUAAUCCGUUCUAAGUUUUUAUCAUUAGGUUUAAAAUAGUGAACUGUUUUUGUUUCCGUGUUUUCACCGCAAAUUUGUUGUAAUUCAGAAUCACUAUAGUUCCUAUUACCUAAAAGAUAACAACGUUGGAUUUAUCAAGACUAAAAUUAUCUUUGCGGAUACUUCGAUUGAAUUUAAACAUACGAAAUUAAUUGCUUUUAAAUUAUUAUCAAAGUUUUGAUUCCUUUUUUGGAAAAAGGUGUUGAUGGCAACUAGUUUUCAUUUGCCAAGUUUGUUUUCCAAUUUGUGGAAAUUAUGUGCACAAUUUAAGACAAGUGACGCAUUUUCUUGGACUUUUUCUAUGUACAUGGUACUAUUGGUACUACUAAAAAAUAAUAUUUUGACAAGUAUAGUCUUCAAUGUAGGGUUAAGGAACUGUUUCUUUUUCUCCACCUAUAUACCUACAUUGACCGUUCAGCAUUUCCACCAGAUUGUCGGUUGUAAUAAUUUCUAAAAAUCCAUUCAAAAUUUACAUUAUUUGAAUGGUUUAAAUAUUUAUCGGACAAUUUAUAACGCUCUAAAUCAUUAAGAUCACCUCUGCUUUUAAUCCGUUCUAAGUUUUAUCAUUAGGUUUAAAAUAGUGAACUGUUUGCCUGUGUUCACUGCAAAUUUGUUGUAAUUCAGAAUCACUAUAGUUCCUAUUACCUAAAAGAUAACAACGUUGGAUUCAUCAAGAUUAAAAUUAUCUUUGGGUAUACUUCGAUUGAAUUUAAACAUACGAAAUUAAUUGCUUUUAAAUUAUCAAUGUUUUGAUUCCUUUUUUGGAAAAAGGUGUCGAUAACAACUAGUUUUCAUUUUCCAAGUUUGUUUUUCAAUUUGUGGAAAUUAUUUGCACAAUUUAAGACAAGUGACGCAUUUUCUUGAACUUUUUCUAUGUACAUGGUACUACUAAAAAUAAUAUUUUAACAAACACAGUCUUCAAUGUAAGGCUCAGCAACUGUUUCUUUUUCUCCACCUAUAAGACAUGUACCGUUUAGAAUUUCCACCAGAUUAUUGGUAGUAAUAUUUUCUAAAAAUUCAUCAUUACAAAAGUAAUGAUAAGAAUAUCAAGUUAUUUUUUUUAUAUUAUGAUAAAUUAUAUUCUAUAUAUAUUAUGAUUCUUAUUCUGAAAAAAGAUAUUUCUGGCAAUUAAUUUACACUUACUCGGUUUGUUUUUUAAUGUGCCGAAAUUAUUUGCACAAUUUAAGACAAGUGUCGUAUUUUCUUGGAUUUUUUCUAUGUACACGAUAUUACUAAAUAAUAAUAUUUCGAGAAAGAUAGCUUUCAAUGUAAGGUUCAGGUUUCUUUUUCUCCACCUAUGCAACAUGUACCAUUUAGAAUUUCCACCAGAUUAUUGGUGGUAAUAUUUUUUAAAAAUUCAUCAUUACAAAAGUAAUGAUAAGAAUAUCAAGUUAUUUUUUUUAUAUUAUGAUAAAUUAUUAUAUUUUAUAUAUUAUGAUUCUUAUUCUGGAAAAAUAUAUCUCUGGCAAUUAAUUUACACUUACUCAGUUUGUUUUUCAAUGUGUCUAAAUUAUUUGCACAAUUUAAGACAAGUGUCGUAUUUUCUUGGAUUUUUUCUAUGUACACGAUACUACUAAAUAAUAAUAUUUCGAGAAAGAUAGCUUUCAAUGUAAGGUUCAGGUUUCUUUUUUUCCACCUAUACGACAUGUACCGUUUAGAAUUUCGACCAGACUAUUGGUAGUAAUACUUUCUAAAAAUUCAUCAUUACAAAAGUAAUGAUAAUAUCAGGUUGUUUUUUUUUAUAUUAUUAUAUAUUAAGUAUAUUUAAAUACAUUAUGAUUCUUAUUCUGGAAGAAGAUGUCGGUGACAAUUAAUUUACACUGGUUAAGUUUGUCUUUAAAUUUGUCGAAAUUAUUUGCACAAUUUAAGAGAAGUGACGUAUUUUCUUGGAUUUUUCCUAUGUCCAUGAUACUAUUAAAAAAUAAUAUUUCGAGAAAGAUAGCUUUCAAUGUGAGGUUCAGGUUUCUUUUUCUCCACCUAUACGACAUGGACCGUUUAGAAUUUCCACCAGAUUAUUGGUAGUAAUAUUUUCUAAAAUGUCAUAAUUACAAAAGUAAUGAUAAUAAAAAGUUCUUUUUUUUCAUAUUAUGAUAUAUUAAGUAUAUUUAUAUAUUAUGAUUCUUAUUCUGGAAGAAGAUGUCGGUGACAAUUAAUUUACACUGGUUAAGUUUGUCUUUAAAUUUGUCGAAAUUAUUUGCACAGUUUAAGACAAGUGUCGCAUUGUCUUGGAUUUUUUCUAUGUACAUGAUACUACUAAAAAGUUAUAUUUUGUGAAAGAUAGCUUUCAGGUUUCUUUUUCUCCGCAUAUCUACAUGGACCGUUCAGCAUUUCCACCAGAUUGUCGGUUGUAAUAAUUUCUAAAUAUCCAUCAUUACAAAAAUGAGGAUAAUAUCAAGUUCUUUUUUUUGAUAGAUAUUGUAAAAUUUUGCUUCACACUUAAUGUUUCACUACUUUUUCACGUAUAUCAUAUUCCUAGUGACAAGUGUGACAAAUUUCGAAACACGAAAUAAUUUUCCUUCAAUCAGUUAUUCUUACCUUCAUUAACUAAAAUGAAUUUUUUGUCCUGACAGAGCUGGAUGGCUGUCCCAACGCUUUCAAACUCAUGAAGUGUCAGUGGACAUUUGUCCAUUAUCCAUAACAUUUGAGUAAAUGCUUUUACGGUUAAGUCCUUAAUGCUAUGCCCAUUGCCCAUUGAUGCAGUUGGUGACAAAUCGAUAAUUUUUUCCAACUCUACUUAAAUCAAAGGAUAAAAAAAUGCUUUCGAUUGGAUUAUGUCCAGUGUUUGCUUACCUUUUUUGGCAACACUGUUUUUUUUCUUUCACCCUUUCAUGAAGAUUAAUACAGCCUCGAAUAACAGUUUGAUUGUUGAACAGUAUAAAUAUAUCUAUAGUACUCCUUAUUUCUUGGUAAGAUUUAAAGUAUUUUCUUAUGCUGAAAUUUCCUUUUUUUGGAUUUUAAAUGUUCUGUAGACAAUAUUUUUCUCUCACUGUGCUUCAACUGCACUGAUUUCACUUCGAUACCUUUAUCUGAUCCAAGUUUGGUUGAUGACCAAGCCGUCAAUUUUUCCAAAUUCUUCUUCAUUCGAUGAGAAAUAAAAAUUUUUGACCGUGUUUUCGGUUGUUAGUUGAGAGAUAACAGAUAACUUUAUUCACAGGUAAUAACCGCAUUCGCAUAUUCUUUACCAUUCUCCGUCGUUCCAGUCCUCUUUCGAAAAGUCUAAAGUAACAAAGAGUAUCGAUGUGAAUAGUAUAAUAAAAAACAAGUGAACAAAAAACAGUUUAAUUCCAUUUCUCCUAUACUAUUUUUUUCAAUACUGAUUCAUUUAUUCUAAAUCCGGUUCAGAAUUACUUUGUUGUGAAAAACUAAGGUGGGUUAUCCACGGUGUUAUGGUGACGCGUCUUUAUAUCCCUAUUUCUUGGUAACAUUUAAAAUAUUUGCUUAUACUGAAAUUUCCUUUUUUGGAGUUUAAAUGUUCUGUGGACAUUAUAUUUUUUUCACUGUGCUUCAACUGCAAUAUUUUCACUUGGAUACCUUUAUCUAAUUCAAGUUUGGUUGACGACCAAACCGUCAAUUGUUCCAAAUUUUUCAUGGUUCGAUGAGAGAUAAAAAAUUUUAGCCGUGUUGUCGGUUGUUAUUUGAGAGAUUACUUUAUUCACAAGUAAUAACCGCAUUCUCAUAUUCUUUACCAUUCUCCGUCGUUCCGGUCCUCUUUCGAAAGGUCUAUAGUAGCAGUGGGAAAAAUUAGAAUAGUAUAUCUUAAUAUACUAACUCAUUAAACUGUUUAAUGGCAUUUUGUUAUUCUAAAUCCGAUUCGGAAUUACUUCGCUGUGAAAAACUAAGCUAUUCACGGUGUUAUGGUGAGGCGUCUUUCUAUAUCCUGUCAAAUGAAUUACAAAUUUUGUAAUAAUAAUGAAAUUUUCACUCAUUUUGAGAGUUGGAGGAUUAAAAAUUUUUAAUCCCUGCGAUUAGAACCAUAUUUUCAUAUUCUUUGCCUUUAUCUGUUGUUCCGCUCCUUUUUCGAAACUUCUAAAACAGUAAUAAAAGCUGAGCUACACUCCUAAAUUGAGUGAGUGUAACCCAUGUACAAACUCACUGGUUCUAAUGUUCUCGAUAAUAAAAUAACCAUCCAUCAGUCACAGAUGUGUUGAUUUCUCAUGUGGUCGAGGCCCUUGGUUUAGGGAGGUUUUUAGAGAAAGAGCCGACAGUCUUGGUCGGUAGUAAUGGUGCGGCAUUAGUACGGUUGGCUGACGGGUUGGGUAAACCUGGACGCGUAAAAUCUCUGGUUGACUAGAGACCUUCGUAUUUACCUGGGCACUGAGAGGACUCUCAGGUGCCUGACACAGCAGCUUCUGGUUUUUGACCGGCCGGUGGCGUUGACUGGAUAGGGUAGGAUAUUAACCCGUGCAAAACGAUUACGGGAAAUUCUGAGGGUAUGAUGCGCCGAAGACGACGCCCUGACCAAGGAAAGUAGGCAGUCAUGACAUCGGAGCUUUAUCAGGAAAGAGCUAGGGGGUGGAGACCCCCCGGUGAGUGACCACAAUGACAAUAUAAUGAAACAGAUAAGCAAGUAGUAAUGUUUUUCAUGAUGUGGUGACGAGCCAUUGACAAGGGCCCAAACCCCGUUAAGGCCGGACCUGCGAGUUGGGGUGCUCAUUUGCCGUGUCAUGGAUAGUGGCAAAAUUAGGUUCCCGUUGCCAUCUACCUGUCGUCUGCUAUUGCUGAUUUUAUUAAGUAUACUGGACUGAUUGGUGCAACAUUUUAGAUUUAUAAAAAUAUCGUGUGCAUUGUAAAUCGCUAACUAAAAUUUGUUUGAUCAUCCUCAUCAAAUAUUUGAUCAUUUCAAACUUUUACCAAGUAAAUCCUAUUUCAAGUGUACAAAAUAAAAUAAUCUAUGCUAA